rnacentral:rRNA from 1 species
ACGUAGGGGGCAAGCGUUAUCCGGAUUUACUGGGUGUAAAGGGAGCGUAGACGGCAUGGCAAGCCAGAUGUGAAAGCCCGGGGCUCAACCUCGGGACUGCAUUUGGAACUGUCAGGCUAGAGUGUCGGAGAGGAAAGCGGAAUUCCUAGUGUAGCGGUGAAAUGCGUAGAUAUUAGGAGGAACACCAGUGGCGAAGGCGGCUUUCUGGACGAUGACUGACGUUGAGGCUCGAAAGCGUGGGGAGCAAACAG